AUUUUAUUAGUAUAUACCACAGUACAUCUAAUUUCCAAUUAGAAAGUUUUUUUAAAAAUAAAAUA
rnacentral:tRNA from 1 species